rnacentral:rRNA from 1 species
UGAUCAUGGCUCAGAUUGAACGCUGGCGGCAGGCCUAACACAUGCAAGUCGAGCGGUAACAGGGGAAGCUUGCUUCCCGCUGACGAGCGGCGGACGGGUGAGUAAUGUAUGGGGAUCUGCCCGAUAGAGGGGGAUAACCACUGGAAACGGUGGCUAAUACCGCAUAAUCUCUUAGGAGCAAAGCAGGGGAACUUCGGUCCUUGCGCUAUCGGAUGAACCCAUAUGGGAUUAGCUAGUAGGUGGGGUAAUGGCUCACCUAGGCGACGAUCCCUAGCCGGUCUGAGAGGAUGAUCAGCCACACUGGGACUGAGACACGGCCCAGACUCCUACGGGAGGCAGCAGUGGGGAAUAUUGCACAAUGGGCGCAAGCCUGAUGCAGCCAUGCCGCGUGUAUGAAGAAGGCCCUAGGGUUGUAAAGUACUUUCAGUCGGGAGGAAGGCGUUGAUGCUAAUAUCAUCAACGAUUGACGUUACCGACAGAAUAAGCACCGGCUAACUCUGUGCCAGCAGCCGCGGUAAUACAGAGGGUGCGAGCGUUAAUCGGAUUUACUGGGCGUAAAGCGUGCGUAGGCGGCUAAUUGAGUCGGAUGUGAAAUCCCCGAGCUUAACUUGGGAAUUGCAUUCGAUACUGGUUAGCUAGAGUGUGGGAGAGGAUGGUAGAACUCCAGGUGUAGCGGUGA